rnacentral:rRNA from 1 species
GAACGCUGGCGGCACGCUUAACACAUGCAAGUCGAACGGGAUCUUCGGAUCUAGUGGCAGACGGGUGAGUAACGCGUGGGAACCUGCCCAGUAGUAGAGAAUAACUUGAGGAAACUUAAGCUAAUACUUUAUACACCCUUAGGGGAAAAGCUUUAUGCGCUAUUGGAUGGGCCCGCGUUAGAUUAGUUUGUUGGUGAGGUAAUGGCUCACCAAGACUACGAUCUAUAGCUGGUCUGAGAGGAUGAUCAGCCACACUGGGACUGAGACACGGCCCANA